rnacentral:rRNA from 1 species
ACGCCUACGGGACUCAGCAGUGAUGAAUCUUGGUCACUUGUCUUAAUCCUGAACCAGCCAUGCCGCGUGCAGGACGACGGCUCUACGAGUUGUAAACUGCUUUUGUACCGGGGUAAAAUGCCUUACGAGUAGGGUUUUGAAAGUACGGUACGAAUAAGGAUCGGCUAACUCCGUGCCAGCAGCCGCGGUAAUACGGAGGAUCCGAGCGUUAUCCGGAUUCAUUGGGUUUAAAGGGUGCGUAGGUUGUUUUAUAAGUUAGCGGUGAAAUACCGAUGCUCAACAUCGGGGCUGCCGCUAAUACUGUA